rnacentral:ribozyme from 1 species
GCUGCUCGGAUAAUCACACACCUCUUCGUGGUGAGCAGCAGGUAACGAUCUUUGAUCGGCUGAGAUGUGAAA